AUACAUGCAAGUCGAACGCGUCUCCGUUAAUGAUUUUAGGUGCUUGCACUUGAAAGAUUUAACAUUGAGACGAGUGGCGAACUGGUGAGUAACACGUGGGUAACCUGCCCUUGAAGUAGGGGAUAACACUUGGAAACAGGUGCUAAUACCGUAUAACAACCAAAACCACCUGGUUUUGGUUUAAAAGACGGCUUCGGCUGUCACUUUAGGAUGGACCCGCGGCGUAUUAGCUUGUUGGUAAGGUAACGGCCUACCAAGGCGAUGAUACGUAGCCGACCUGAGAGGGUAAUCGGCCACAUUGGGACUGAGACACGGCCCAAACUCCUACGGGAGGCAGCAGUAGGGAAUCUUCCACAAUGGACGAAAGUCUGAUGGAGCAACGCCGCGUGAGUGAUGAAGGGUUUCGGCUCGUAAAACUCUGUUGUUGGAGAAGAACAGGUGUCAGAGUAACUGUUGACAUCUUGACGGUAUCCAACCAGAAAGCCACGGCUAACUACGUGCCAGCAGCCGCGGUAAUACGUAGGUGGCAAGCGUUGUCCGGAUUUAUUGGGCGUAAAGCGAGCGCAGGCGGUUUUUUAGGUCUGAUGUGAAAGCCUUCGGCUUAACCGGAGAAGUGCAUCGGAAACCGGGAGACUUGAGUGCAGAAGAGGACAGUGGAACUCCAUGUGUAGCGGUGAAAUGCGUAGAUAUAUGGAAGAACACCAGUGGCGAAGGCGGCUGUCUGGUCUGUAACUGACGCUGAGGCUCGAAAGC
rnacentral:rRNA from 1 species